GUCCCUGUAAUGCAAUGGAUAGCAUGUUGGACUUCUAAUCCAAAGGAUGGGGGUUCGAAUCCUGUCGGGGAUG
rnacentral:tRNA from 1 species